rnacentral:rRNA from 1 species
CGCAUCUGUGCAUGCAGCAUAUCAAUAAGCGGAGGAAAAGAAACUAACAAGGAUUCCCCUAGUAACGGCGAGUGAAGCGGGAAGAGCUCAAAUUUGAAAUCUUAAAGGGUUUCCCUUUACGAAUUGUAGUUUAAAGAAGUGUUUUCUGUUGAGGUUUUGGUAAAAGUUCUUUGGAAUAGGACAUCAUAGAGGGUGAGAAUCCCGUAUUUGACCUUUACUUUCAACUUUGUGAUACACUUUCAAAGAGUCGGAUUGUUUGGGAAUGCAGUCCAAAAUGGGUGGUAAAUUUCAUCUAAAGCUAAAUAUUGGCGAGAGACCGAUAGCGAACAAGUACCGUGAGGGAAAGAUGAAAAGAACUUUGAAAAGAGAGUUAAACAGUACGUGAAAUUGUCAAAAGGGAAGCGUUUGACACCAGUGUUGUUUUUCUGAAAAUCAAUUAAAGAACUGUUUAUGCUAAGUUGUUUAGACUUUAUCAGCUAUCUGUUUAGUUUUGAGCUUUUCUUUAAUGCACUUUUCAGUUAACAAGUCAACAUCAAUUUCUUUUGCUGUAAAAAAGCUUGAGGAAGGUGGCUUGAGAUUCGUCUUAAGUGUUUAUAGCCUCUUGCCUAUGCAGUCCGGAGAGAUUGAGGUCUGCAGCGUAGAUCCUUCGGGGCUAAAUGCAUUUGUGCUAAGUUAUAGCAUUUUCAUAGACAACUUGUUGACUAUGAUUUGUCUUGUAGCUUACUCGCUUAUGUUAUUUUACCUACGCUUAGGAUGUUGACAGCAGUAUAGACUGU